rnacentral:rRNA from 1 species
ACCUACGGGAGAAAGGGGGCAACUUGUUGCUCUCGCUAUUAGAUGAGCCUAAGUCGGAUUAGCUAGAUGGUGGGGUAAAGGCCUACCAUGGCGACGAUCUGUAGCUGGUCUGAGAGGAUGAUCAGCCACACCGGGACUGAGACACGGCCCGGACUCCUACGGGAGGCAGCAGUGGGGAAUAUUGGACAAUGGGGGCAACCCUGAUCCAGCCAUGCCGCGUGUGUGAAGAAGGCCUUUUGGUUGUAAAGCACUUUAAGCAGUGAAGAAGACUCCAUGGUUAAUACCCAUGGACGAUGACAUUAGCUGCAGAAUAAGCACCGGCUAACUCUGUGCCAGCAGCCGCGGUAAUACAGAGGGUGCAAGCGUUAAUCGGAAUUACUGGGCGUAAAGCGAGCGUAGGUGGCUUGAUAAGUCAGAUGUGAAAUCCCCGGGCUUAACCUGGGAACUGCAUCUGAUACUGUUAGGCUAGAAUAGGUGAGAGGAAGGUAGAAUUCCAGGUGUAGCGGUGAAAUGCGUAGAGAUCUGGAGGAAUACCGAUGGCGAAGGCAGCCUUCUGGCAUCAUAUUGACACUGAGGUUCGAAAGCGUGGGUAGCAAACAGGAUUAGAUACCCUGGUAGUCCACGCCGUAAACGAUGUCUACUAGUCGUUGGGUCCCUUGAGGACUUAGUGACGCAGCUUACGCAAUAAGUAGACCGCCUGGGGAGUACGGCCGCAAGGUUAAAACUCAAAUGAAUUGACGGGGGCCCGCACAAGCGGUGGAGCAUGUGGUUUAAUUCGAUGCAACGCGAAAAACCUUACCUGGUCUUGACAUAUCUAGAAUCCUGCAGAGAUGCUGGAGUGCCUUCGGGAAUUAAAAUACAGGUGCUGCAUGGCUGUCGUCAGCUCGUGUCUUGAGAUGUUGGGUUAAUUCCCCCAACCACCGCAACCCUUGUCCUUACUUACCACCA